rnacentral:rRNA from 1 species
GGCGGACGGGUGAGUAACGCGUAAGGAACUUGCCUCUUGGACUGGGACAACUGUUGGAAACGACAGCUAAUACCGGAUAUUAUGAGAUUCUCGCAUGAGAAACUUAUGAAAGCUAUAUGCGCCAAGAGAGAGCCUUGCGUUCCAUUAGCUAGUUGGUGGGGUAACGGCCCACCAAGGCGACGAUGGAUAGCCGGCCUGAGAGGGUGAACGGCCACAAGGGGACUGAGACACGGCCCUUACUCCUACGGGAGGCAGCAGUGGGGAAUAUUGGACAAUGGGCCACAAGCCUGAUCCAGCAAUUCUGUGUGCACGAUGAAGGUCUUCGGAUUGUAAAGUGCUUUCAGUUGGGAAGAAGAAAGUGACGGUACCAACAGAAGAAGCGACGGCUAAAUACGUGCCAGCAGCCGCGGUAAUACGUAUGUCGCAAGCGUUAUCCGGAUUUAUUGGGCGUAAAGCGCGUCUAGGCGGAAAAAUAAGUCUGAUGUUAAAAUGCGGGGCUCAACUCCGUAUUGCGUUGGAAACUGUUUUUCUAGAGUACUGGAGAGGUGGGCGGAACUACAAGUGUAGAGGUGAAAUUCGUAGAUAUUUGUAGGAAUGC